rnacentral:rRNA from 1 species
CUAGUGAAUAAGGGGUGGGCAAGUUCUGGUGUCAGCCGCCGCGGUAAAACCAGCACCUCAAGUGGUCAGGAGGAUUAUUGGGCCUAAAGCAUCCGUAGCCGGCUCUGUAAGUUUUCGGUUAAAUCCAUGUGCUCAACGCAUGGGCUGUCGAAAAUACUGCAUAGCUAGGGAGUGGGAGAGGUAGACGGUACUCGGUACGAAGGGGUAAAAUCCUUUGAUCUAUCGAUGACCACCUGUGGCGAAGGCGGUCUACCAGAACACGUUCGACGGUGAGGGAUGAAAGCUGGGGGAGCAAACCGGAUUAGAUACCCGGGUAGUCCCAGCUGUAAACGAUGCAGACUCGAUGAUGCAUUGGCAUAUAGCCAGUGCAGUGUCGCAGGGAAGCCGUUAAGUCUGCCGCCUGGGAAGUACGUACGCAAGUAUGAAACUUAAAGGAAUUGGCGGGGGAGCACCACAAGGG